AUGAUACACCAGAACAAAUUCUUGAGGAGUUUUUCCAUCUAAGGAUUACAUAUUAUGAGAAAAGGAAGAAAGCUUUGCUGGAUAAUCUUGAGUUGGACCUGUUAAAGCUGGACAACAAAGUCAGGUUCAUUCUUGGUGUUGUUAAAGGUCAGAUCAUAG